rnacentral:rRNA from 1 species
AAAUGGCVGCGGUAUAUUGACCGUGCGAAGGUAGCAUAAUCGUUUGCUUUUUCGCCGAAGGCUAUAAUGAAUGAUUGGACGAGAAAAGCCUGUCUUAAUUUUAAAUUUUAAAUUUUACUUUUUAGUGAAAAAGGUAAAAUUUUAUUAAGGGACGAGAGGACCCUAUUAAGCUUUAUUUUUGUUUGUUUUUUAUUAUGUUUUUCGUUAUAAAAAAUGGAAGGAAUUUUACUGGGGCGGUAGAGAAAGAAGGGAAUCUUUUUUUAGAGAUUAAAACAUUUAUGUAAAUUUUUGAUCCAUUAUUAAUGAUAAGAAGAAGAAGUUACUAUAGGGAUAACAGCGUAAUUUUUUCGGAGAGUUCAUAUCGGCGAAGAAGUUUGCGACCUCGAUGUUGAAUUAAGAAGUCAAUAGGGCGAAGAAGUUCUUAUCAUUGGGCAGACCAGA